AAGUGAUCCGAGGGAGUCACCGCUAGAGAGAGUCGCUGCAGAAAGAGGGUUAGGAGUGCCGGAAGGGAGAUUGCCGACGGAGCUAUUGCGAGCGCGACGACGUUCUUCGUGGAGUGCUGUGGUACUUCGUGUAGUGCUGGGGCUCUUCAAAGUGCCGUCGUCGCGGAGUUGGGGUGAGGGUGAGGCACAAUGAAGAGAGGGUUAGGGUUAGGCACAUUGAAUUAGAGGGCUUAGGAUGAUCUGAACGAGUUAGGGCUUAAUGUUUGAAGGAGUUAGGGCUUCGGGUUCUUUGAAGAAGGAGAAAGCUAACGUUUGAAAG
rnacentral:lncRNA from 1 species